UUGACCUCGGAUCAGGUAGGGAUACCCGCUGAACUUAAGCAUAUCAAUAAGCGGAGGAAAAGAAACCAACAGGGAUUGCCCUAGUAACGGCGAGUGAAGCGGCAACAGCUCAAAUUUGAAAUCUGGCGUCUUUGGCGUCCGAGUUGUAAUUUGCAGAGGGCGCUUUGGCAUUGGCAGCGGUCCAAGUUCCUUGGAACAGGACGUCACAGAGGGUGAGAAUCCCGUACGUGGUCGCUAGCCUUUACCGUGUAAAGCCCCUUCGACGAGUCGAGUUGUUUGGGAAUGCAGCUCUAAAUGGGAGGUAAAUUUCUUCUAAAGCUAAAUACUGGCCAGAGACCGAUAGCGCACAAGUAGAGUGAUCGAAAGAUGAAAAGCACUUUGGAAAGAGAGUUAAAAAGCACGUGAAAUUGUUGAAAGGGAAGCGCUUGCAGCCAGACUUGCCUGUAGUUGCUCAUCCGGGUUUUUACCCGGUGCACUCUUCUACGGGCAGGCCAGCAUCAGUUUGGGCGGUUGGAUAAAGGUCUCUGUCAUGUACCUCCUCUCGGGGAGAACUUAUAGGGGAGACGACAUGCAACCAGCCCGGACUGAGGUCCGCGCAUCUGCUAGGAUGCGGC
rnacentral:rRNA from 1 species